CGAGGAGUUUGUUGAAGUGGGGAGGUUAGGACCCUCUGACUACUUUGGUGAGAUUGCUCUGCUGAUGAACCGUCCCCGCGCUGCCACUGUGGUCGCCCGCGGCCCCCUGAAGUGCGUCAAGCUCGACCGGCCUCGCUUCGAGCGCGUCCUGGGUCCCUGUUCAGACAUUCUCAAACGUAACAUCCAACAGUACAACAGCUUCGUCUCGCUGUCUGUCUGAAGGGGGCGUCCCUCCCCACCCUCCCUCUCCCUCCACCCUUUCCCUCUUUUCUCCUUUUAGACCCAGGGUCCACCAAUGCAAUUUGCUUUUUUUUGUCACUUUCUUCUUCUUUCUGUUUGGCUUUUCUCCCUAUUUUGUUGUUUUGUUUUGUUUUACACACAGAGCUCAUUUUGUUGUUACCACCUGUCACGCUGAGGUGACUUUCAGCCAUUCACCAGCGCUUGUACCAGCUGCUGUACGCUACCUUGUAGGCACAGUUACAUCACAUGUUACCUAUGUUAUAUACGUAUUUGCUGGUUACGCUCUCUUUUUUGACUUAAACACAAAGCAGGAUUGUUUGGAGAUCUGAAAGACAUUAGGGUCUCACACUGGUGAGACAGGACAAUCAAACUUUACAUGGCGCUUUUGGUGAAUUUGUUACAGAUUUAUGUUGUAGAUUGAAGAGAGGACUUCUAUUUCCCCUGUUAAAGAAUUUCCUUUUGGACAUCAUUUAGCUUGAUUAGAUAUACAGCAUAGAGCAGAACCUAGAAACUGUAGAAGGCAGGACAAAUAUGAUCGCAUCAACUUUUAUCUGACGUUUGCUUUAGGUUUCAGCUCCACGAUGGUUGCUUCCCUUUCGAUUGGCACGAUGGAAUAAGUCUGUUUUGCUUAGUUAGAGAGAGCUUGUACAACUUAAGGUUUUAAUUUUAUUGUGCAGCUACCAGGCUAGUGCCAAAUGUUGAUUAUUGUCACAACGCAAAGAUGCGUAGCCGUGGAAAUGCAGCGCGUGCUCUGUUCCCUGACUAUUCGGAGGUCCAAACAGGAAGUAGUAAUUCCCCUUAUUGUCCUCUUGAAUCGGUAGAACGACCAUACAAGAACUGCCUUGACUACUCUGAGGAAAAAAAUUAAUUUAAAAAGAAAGGUAAAAAAAAAAGAGUAUUAAGUGUAUUUCAGUAUUCAAUUUUUUUAGUAUAUACCAAAUAACUUGGUCACUCUUCUGCUAUAGUUUGUAAUCAAAAUGUUAUCAUGGUAUAGUUAAAACGAUCAUAGUUAUAUUAUUAUCAUUGACUAAAUGAUAAACUUAUGGUUUGGAGUGAUGGUGAUCUUAAAAAAAAAAAAAAAAAACUAUGUUUAACUGUCUUUUGUAAACACUUAUUUUUCCAUAAAUUCUAUUUUAGGUGUCCAGUGCCACAAAGUAAAUAAAUGCUUCUUCUUGUCAACCGACAAAAACAGUAUGUAAUCGUAUUGUGUAAAACGUCAUGGGUUAAAAACUUUUUAAAAAUAGAUCAAAUGGGUAAUUCCAGGUUUAUUGAAGUGAAGUCUUGAAAAAACAAAAAACAAGAUGGUUUAUGGUUUUCAGGACAUCUGAAGUAUUUAUGUAUUGAAGCAUCACAGGUGAGCUGACGGGCAGAGUCAGCAGAUAUUUAUUUAAAACUAGUGUCAUUGAUUAUUGCCUAUUUGAAAAGGUGGCUGUCUUUUCAUCAGAGUAGCUUGUGAUCUGUUCUCUAUGCUUACUUGGCAUGAUGUUUUAGGCAUCCAGUGAUCCGGUAUGAAUGGAAGCGUGUAUUAAAAAAAAAAAAAAAAAAAGCCUGCAGCUGCGUGCAGAAGCAGGAACUUUGUCAAAUAUUUGGUUUGUUACUCCCUAGCUUAACUGCUUCAUGACUAUUUAGAUGGCAUAAAAUGUUUAAGUCUGUUUUUGUUUUUUUUAAAAGAUCUUUACCAAAUCACACAAUGUUGACUUCUGGAUUAUAGGCUUAACUCUUCAUUCCUGCCUCACUUGUCUGUUACCAGAAAUGACAUAGAACCAGUCAUGUGUUUCUGUUUUGUCUCAUUUAGAGCACUCGAAUGCGCUUAAGAAUUGAGAUGUAUGUUUGUACGUCCAAAAAAGAUUUGAUUUUGGUGCCGAUUGCAGGGUAGUCAGGUUAGUGAGAAGAGUUUUUUUUGUUAAUGGACUUGAGUAAUAUGUAAUUUCUUUACAGUUAAAUCAAUCAUCUCCAUCUGAUCCUUAUCCUGAUCCACAGGAAAUGACUCCGUUAGGGGCGUGGGUUUGACUCACCUUUUAUCGAAAUAUUGUUUUCGUGUAAAUAGCAGCAUCAUUGGUUUUAGUCCAAAAUGUUUUUAGCCACACUGCAAUCGUCCCGGUUUGCCUUAGCUUACCUAACCUGGGCUUACAGUAGUAGUCAGUCACUCCUGCUAGCCCGACCUUCAGUGAGUUUGUUAGGCCUGCAGCGCAGAGAGCUGCAGGCGACCAGAGGACCAUUCUUUUUCUAUUCUACCCUGUAUUCAGUUUGACCUCCUGUAUGUGCAAAGAUGUUUAUCCUUUUGGUAUAGAUUGUUCCAGAUGGCAGUUUAAGCAAUAAAAAAGUAAAAAUAA